GAUUUUGUUGGGGUGAAAAGCACACUGACAUGCCACCGCUGUUUAUUGGAGUGCGAUUUCACGUGCAAAUGCAAAAACAUUAAAAAUGUUAUUGCUCCUUAUGUGCAUAUGCGGCAGCGCUCCUCGAGGGGGCACCAGCUGCGGGAAGUCUGUUCCUUGCAGACCCCUGACCACGCGAUGAAUGAAUAAAGUACACUGACACACAGAUAUUCUGCUCUGCCAGUCCAGCUGAGGGUCCAAGCCCCUUACAGGCUCCCUGCUGAGCCCUGUAAACAGUUGCGACUCGGCAGGGAGCCUGUAAGCACCUGGGACCCUCAGAAUAUCUGUGUGUCAGCGUACUUUAUUCACCGGUCAUUGGGUCAGGGGUCUGCAAGGGACAGACUCCCCACAGCUGGUGACCCCUCGAGAGGAGCCCUGCCCCCAGCUGGUGCCCCAUGUGAGGCGCUGUGUGAGGAACUGUGUGAGGAAUGCUGUGAAGGAAACGCGACGAACCGCCCGAAAACGAAGGGCAAAGCGGCUGAGAUCUUUGAACUCCCUUUGAACUUUGAGAAUGGUGACUGGAAGAUGACAAUUCAUGUUGUUUUCAGGAAAGUUGAAGGAUGGGAUGUAUGCAAAGGAGAAUGAACUCUACUACAGUAAUGGAAAGAAGUGAUAGAAGAUGAAACUCCAAAAUGCCUAUCUGCUACUUGAGUGGAACUCACUAGAAUAUAUCAAAUGCAGAGAGAAACAUGUGACUAGGCUCUAGUCAAACAAUUGUCAUCAAAUACUUGCUGAAUAUAUAACACAUUUUAGGAGCUGUGCAGAAAACAGUUUUGAGUGGUGAGAUACACUUAAUUUCAAGCCUCACUUGCAAAAUUUUCAAUGGUGAACCUUCUGGACACCAAAUGUAUAACUCGAGCUAUUUUAGAAGUUAGAGAAAGGCUGCCUUCCCAGGUCAGAGAAUCAGAAGAUUGAAAUAAGCCGCUCACUCUCUUUUUUGGGACACUGAAAUAGGGAAUUAGCAUGAUACAAAGAACACUCUGGACUGUGUCCCCCAUCUAAGUAAAUUGUAUUAUGUUCCAAAGCUGAGUUUAAACAAAAUAGUAAAAAUUCAGAGGUAUUACAAAGCUGAUCUAGAUUCUUCAUCUCAAUAAAUCUGGGGACUGCUUGUACAAGCAGUAGAAAAUGGAUAAAGAUAACAUCAUGAAUGCAUGUUUCUCACCCUCUUUACUUUUAUCUCCUCCUGAAGUGACUCCAGCAAUCAGAUAAGUAAUUAGCAGAGUAUGUUUACAAAUCGCUGUGAAGGAUGAGUUGGGAAACAGAGGCUGAAUAUACAGUAUCCACAAAAGGGAAAUGUUCAUAGGUAGUAUAAGGUUUUUGAGAAGGCAGGCCAUGAUGUCAUUCAAAGUAUAGACAAACUCAGUAAAUACUGGUGAUUAUGACAUACCUAUUUGUUCUCCAUCCGAAAUGCAAAAAUUAAAAAGUCUGAUUGUAUCCCAGUAUUUGUGAAGGUGUGGGGAAAUGGGCACCUUAAUAUUUACAUGAAUGCAAAUUGGUGGACAAUUUUGUGUUACUAAACUUUAACCUAUCAUACUUCUUUAUCUGACCAUUAUCUUUCUAAGCCUUUCCAGGUACACACUCAUGUACUUGCACAAAGAUGCCUGUUUUGUAUUGUUUGAAGCAGAAAAAAAUUAAAUGAUACUUUAAUGUCCAUCAACUGAAAAAUAGCUAAAUGGAUCAUAAUAUGUCAAAACUAUGGGCUAUAUACUGUAUUUAAAAUAAUAAAAUGAAUCUACAUAUGUUGACAUGAAAAUGUCUAUAGGAUGUAUUGUUUCAGUGAAAAAAAGCAAAUUGUAGAACCAUAUGUGAAUAUAACUUUAGUAAAGAAACAAUAAAUAAUAAAG
rnacentral:lncRNA from 1 species